rnacentral:rRNA from 1 species
CUGAACCAGCCAAGUAGCGUGAAGGAUGACUGCCCUAUGGGUUGUAAACUUCUUUUAUACGGGAAUAAAGUGAGGCACGUGUGCCUUUUUGUAUGUACCGUAUGAAUAAGGAUCGGCUAACUCCGUGCCAGCAGCCGCGGUAAUACGGAGGAUCCGAGCGUUAUCCGGAUUUAUUGGGUUUAAAGGGAGCGUAGGCGGGUUGUUAAGUCAGUUGUGAAAGUUUGCGG